rnacentral:rRNA from 1 species
GCAAGUCGAGGGGUAACAGAAGAGCUUGCUUUUGCUGACGACCGGCGCACGGGUGCGUAACGCGUAUACAAUCUACCUUUUACUAAGGAAUACCCCAGAGAAAUUUGGAUUAAUGCCUUAUAGUAUGUUCACUUCGCAUGGAGAUAACAUUAAAGAUUACGGAAAAAGAUGAGUAUGCGUUCUAUUAGCUAGAUGGUGUGGUAACGGCACACCAUGGCAACGAUAGAUAGGGGUUCUGAGAGGGAGAUC